GACGAACGCUGGCGGCGUGCUUAACACAUGCAAGUCGAACGGAAAGGCCCUGCUUUUGUGGGGUGCUCGAGUGGCGAACGGGUGAGUAACACGUGAGUAACCUGCCCUUGACUUUGGGAUAACUUCAGGAAACUGGGGCUAAUACCGGAUAGGAGCUCCUGCUGCAUGGUGGGGGUUGGAAAGUUUCGGCGGUUGGGGAUGGACUCGCGGCUUAUCAGCUUGUUGGUGGGGUAGUGGCUUACCAAGGCUUUGACGGGUAGCCGGCCUGAGAGGGUGACCGGCCACAUUGGGACUGAGAUACGGCCCAGACUCCUACGGGAGGCAGCAGCGGGGAAUAUUGCACAAUGGGCGGAAGCCUGAUGCAGCAACGCCGCGUGCGGGAUGACGGCCUUCGGGUUGUAAACCGCUUUCGCCUGUGACGAAGCGUGAGUGACGGUAGUGGGUAAAGAAGCACCGGCUAACUACGUG
rnacentral:rRNA from 1 species